rnacentral:rRNA from 1 species
ACUUAAAUUGAAGAGUUUGAUCAUGGCUCAGAUUGAACGCUGGCGGCAGGCCUAACACAUGCAAGUCGAGCGGUAACACAGAGAGCUUGCUCUCGGGUGACGAGCGGCGGACGGGUGAGUAAUGUCUGGGAAACUGCCUGAUGGAGGGGGAUAACUACUGGAAACGGUAGCUAAUACCGCAUAACGUCGCAAGACCAAAGUGGGGGACCUUCGGGCCUCAUGCCAUCAGAUGUGCCCAGAUGGGAUUAGCUAGUAGGUGGGGUAAUGGCUCACCUAGGCGACGAUCCCUAGCUGGUCUGAGAGGAUGACCAGCCACACUGGAACUGAGACACGGUCCAGACUCCUACGGGAGGCAGCAGUGGGGAAUAUUGCACAAUGGGCGCAAGCCUGAUGCAGCCAUGCCGCGUGUAUGAAGAAGGCCUUCGGGUUGUAAAGUACUUUCAGCGAGGAGGAAGGCAUUAAGGUUAAUAACCUUGGUGAUUGACGUUACUCGCAGAAGAAGCACCGGCUAACUCCGUGCCAGCAGCCGCGGUAAUACGGAGGGUGCAAGCGUUAAUCGGAAUUACUGGGCGUAAAGCGCACGCAGGCGGUCUGUCAAGUCGGAUGUGAAAUCCCCGGGCUCAACCUGGGAACUGCAUUCGAAACUGGCAGGCUAGAGUCUUGUAGAGGGGGGUAGAAUUCCAGGUGUAGCGGUGAAAUGCGUAGAGAUCUGGAGGAAUACCGGUGGCGAAGGCGGCCCCCUGGACAAAGACUGACGCUCAGGUGCGAAAGCGUGGGGAGCAAACAGGAUUAGAU